GGGGGUGUAGCUCAGCUGGGAGAGCCCCUGCUUUGCAAGCAGGGGGUCAGCGGUUCGAUCCCGCUCAUCUCCACCA
rnacentral:tRNA from 1 species